UGCUUCGGCCGGGAAUCAACCCGGGCCGCCCGCGUGGCAGGCGAGCAUUCUACACUGGACCACCGAUGC
rnacentral:tRNA from 1 species